GUUUGAUCCUGGCUCAGGAUGAACGCUGGCGGCGUGCCUAAUACAUGCAAGUCGAGCGAAUGGAUUAAGAGCUUGCUCUUAUGAAGUUAGCGGCGGACGGGUGAGUAACACGUGGGUAACCUGCCCAUAAGACUGGGAUAACUCCGGGAAACCGGGGCUAAUACCGGAUAACAUUUUGAACCGCAUGGUUCGAAAUUGAAAGGCGGCUUCGGCUGUCACUUAUGGAUGGACCCGCGUCGCAUUAGCUAGUUGGUGAGGUAACGGCUCACCAAGGCAACGAUGCGUAGCCGACCUGAGAGGGUGAUCGGCCACACUGGGACUGAGACACGGCCCAGACUCCCACGGGAGGCAGCAGUAGGGAAUCUUCCGCAAUGGACGAAAGUCUGACGGAGCAACGCCGCGUGAGUGAUGAAGGCUUUCGGGUCGUAAAACUCUGUUGUUAGGGAAGAACAAGUGCUAGUUGAAUAAGCUGGCACCUUGACGGUACCUAACCAGAAAGCCACGGCUAACUACGUGCCAGCAGCCGCGGUAAUACGUAGGUGGCAAGCGUUAUCCGGAAUUAUUGGGCGUAAAGCGCGCGCAGGUGGUUUCUUAAGUCUGAUGUGAAAGCCCACGGCUCAACCGUGGAGGGUCAUUGGAAACUGGGAGACUUGAGUGCAGAAGAGGAAAGUGGAAUUCCAUGUGUAGCGGUGAAAUGCGUAGAGAUAUGGAGGAACACCAGUGGCGAAGGCGACUUUCUGGUCUGUAACUGACACUGAGGCGCGAAAGCGUGGGGAGCAAACAGGAUUAGAUACCCUGGUAGUCCACGCCGUAAACGAUGAGUGCUAAGUGUUAGAGGGUUUCCGCCCUUUAGUGCUGAAGUUAACGCAUUAAGCACUCCGCCUGGGGAGUACGGCCGCAAGGCUGAAACUCAAAGGAAUUGACG
rnacentral:rRNA from 1 species